UAUUGGACAAUGGGGGAAACCCUGAUCCAGCGACGCCGCGUGUGUGAAGAAGGCCUGCGGGUUGUAAAGCACUUUUAGUGGGGAUGAAAUGUGCAGGGCUAACACCUCUGCAUUUUGACCUAACCCACAGAAAAAGCACCGGCUAACUCUGUGCCAGCAGCCGCGGUAAUACAGAGGGUGCAAGCGUUAAUCGGAAUUACUGGGCGUAAAGCGUGCGUAGACGGUUACAUAAGUCGGGUGUGAAAGCCCCGGGCUCAACCUGGGAAUUGCAUUCGAGACUGCGUAGCUAGGGUGCGGAAGAGGGAAGCGGAAUUUCCGGUGUAGCGGUGAAAUGCGUAGAUAUCGGAAGGAACACCAGUGGCGAAAGCGGCUUCCUGGUCCAGCACCGACGUUCAGGCACGAAAGCGUGGGGAGCAAA
rnacentral:rRNA from 1 species